GAUGAAGAACGCAGCGAAAUGCGAUAAGUAAUGUGAAUUGCAGAAUUCAGUGAAUCAUCGAAUCUUUGAACGCACAUUGCGCCCGCUAGUAUUCUGGCGGGCAUGCCUGUUCGAGCGUCAUUUCAACCAUCAAGCCCCCGGCUUGCGUUGGAGCCCUGCGGCUGCCGCAGGCUCCCAAAUCCAGUGGCGGGCUCGUCGUCGUACCGAGUGCAGUAAACAUCCUCGCUCAGGGAACGUGACGGGUUCUUGCCGUGAAACCCCCCACAUAUCAAGGUUGACCUCGGAUCAGGUAGGAAUACCCGCUGAACUUAAGCAUAUCAUAAGCGGAGGA
rnacentral:misc_RNA from 1 species